rnacentral:rRNA from 1 species
GACGAACGCUGGCGGCGUGCUUAACACAUGCAAGUCGAACGCUGAAGCUCAGCUUUUGUUGGGUGGAUGAGUGGCGAACGGGUGAGUAACACGUGAGUAACCUGCCUCCUUCUUUGGGAUAACGCCCGGAAACGGGUGCUAAUACUGGAUAUUCACUGGUCUUCGCAUGGGGGUUGGUGUAAAGUGUUUUUCUGGUGGGGGAUGGGCUCGCGGCCUAUCAGCUUGUUGGUGGGGUGAUGGCCUACCAAGGCUUUGACGGGUAGCCGGCCUGAGAGGGUGACCGGUAACAUUGGGACUGAGAUACGGCCCAGACUCCUACGGGAGGCAGCAGUGGGGAAUAUUGCACAAUGGGCGCAAGCCUGAUGCAGCGACGCCGCGGGAGGGAUGGAGGCCUUCGGGUUGUGAACCUCUUUCGCUAAUGGUCAAGCCGCAACAAUGGUUGUGGUGAGGGUAGUGGGUAAAGAAGCGCCGGCUAACUACGUG